AUUGAACGCUGGCGGCAUGCCUUACACAUGCAAGUCGAACGGUAACAGGUCUUCGGAUGCUGACGAGUGGCGCACGGGUGAGUAAUACAUCGGAACGUGCCCGAUCGUGGGGGAUAACGAGGCGAAAGCUUUGCUAAUACCGCAUACGAUCUACGGAUGAAAGCGGGGGAUCUUCGGACCUCGCGCGGACGGAGCGGCCGAUGGCAGAUUAGGUAGUUGGUGGGAUAAAAGCUUACCAAGCCGACGAUCUGUAGCUGGUCUGAGAGGAUGAUCAGCCACACUGGGACUGAGACACGGCCCAGACUCCUACGGGAGGCAGCAGUGGGGAAUUUUGGACAAAGGGCGAAAGCCUGAUCCAGCCAUGCCGCGUGCAGGAUGAAGGCCUUCGGGUUGUAAACUGCUUUUGUACGGAACGAAAAGCCUCUUUCUAAUAAAGAGAGGUCAUGACGGUACCGUAAGAAUAAGCACCGGCUAACUACGUG
rnacentral:rRNA from 1 species